rnacentral:ncRNA from 1 species
UUUCUUUCCCUAUAGCUGGUACUUUUUCAGGCACAUAGUUGUAUUCUGUAAAACAAGUGAUUCCAGGUCUCGGGGACUGAAGGAGCUCUGCCCUUUCUUAGACUUUACAUGGAUGAGAAGCCCAGUCAGUGCCUCACAGGCCACUUUUGGUCCACAGAACUGGUGGUGUAGGAUGAACAGAGAAUCAGUUAAGGUGCUUAGUGAGGAUGCUCAUGAGAGCCCCGGAAAGAUGUUGGUAGAUGCAGGCAGCAGGACUGUGGCCAUUGAAGUGAACCACGCUGGUAAGGAGUGUGCAGCAACUCGGCUGCGAUGGGUGCUGCAGAGUGUCAGGCCCAUACCCGGCCUUCUUUGGCAGUGAACACACAAGAGAGA